GUGAACCCGCGUUAGCGAUUGCAACGGCAUCCUUUUUUUGUUUCCGCCAAAGGCAAAAAAAGAUAUAGUGUAAAGCGCGACCCUUG
rnacentral:sRNA from 2 species